GGCGGUGUGGUAUAGUGGUAGUGAGUAGGGCUCAUAACCGAAAGGUUGGUGGUUUGAUUCCCUGCUAAGGCA